rnacentral:rRNA from 1 species
AUGAACGCUGGCGGCGUGCCUAAUACAUGCAAGUCGAGCGAACAGAUGAGGAGCUUGCUCCUCUGACGUUAGCGGCGGACGGGUGAGUAACACGUGGAUAACCUACCUAUAAGACUGGGAUAACUUCGGGAAACCGGAGCUAAUACCGGAUAAUAUAUUGAACCGCAUGGUUCAAUAGUGAAAGACGGUUUUGCUGUCACUUAUAGAUGGAUCCGCGCCGCAUUAGCUAGUUGGUAAGGUAACGGCUUACCAAGGCAACGAUGCGUAGCCGACCUGAGAGGGUGAUCGGCCACACUGGAACUGAGACACGGUCCAGACUCCUACGGGAGGCAGCAGUAGGGAAUCUUCCGCAAUGGGCGAAAGCCUGACGGAGCAACGCCGCGUGAGUGAUGAGGGUCUUCGGAUCGUAAAACUCUGUUAUUAGGGAAGAACAAAUGUGUAAGUAACUAUGCACGUCUUGACGGUACCUAAUCAGAAAGCCACGGCUAACUACGUG